rnacentral:rRNA from 1 species
UACAGGCUUAACACAUGCAAGUCGAGGGGCAUCAGGAAGAAAGCUUGCUUUCUUUGCUGGCGACCGGCGCACGGGUGAGUAACACGUAUCCAACCUGCCCUUUACUCGGGGAUAGCCUUUCGAAAGAAAGAUUAAUACCCGAUGGCAUAAUGAUUCCGCAUGGUUUCAUUAUUAAAGGAUUCCGGUAAAGGAUGGGGAUGCGUUCCAUUAGGUUGUUGGUGAGGUAACGGCUCACCAAGCCUUCGAUGGAUAGGGGUUCUGAGAGGAAGGUCCCCCACAUUGGAACUGAGACACGGUCCAAACUCCUACGGGAGGCAGCAGUGAGGAAUAUUGGUCAAUGGGCGCUAGCCUGAACCAGCCAAGUAGCGUGAAGGAUGAAGGCUCUAUGGGUCGUAAACUUCUUUUAUAUAAGAAUAAAGUGCAGUAUGUAUACUGUUUUGUAUGUAUUAUAUGAAUAAGGAUCGGCUAACUCCGUGCCAGCAGCCGCGGUAAUACGGAGGAUCCGAGCGUUAUCCGGAUUUAUUGGGUUUAAAGGGAGCGUAGGUGGACUGGUAAGUCAGUUGUGAAAGUUUGCGGCUCAACCGUAAAAUUGCAGUUGAUACUGUCAGUCUUGAGUACAGUAGAGGUGGGCGGAAUUCGUGGUGUAGCGGUGAAAUGCUUAGAUAUCACGAAGAACUCCGAUUGCGAAGGCAGCUCACUGGACUGCAACUGACACUGAUGCUCGAAAGUGUGGGUAUCAAACAGGAUUAGAUACCCUGGUAGUCCACACAGUAAACGAUGAAUACUCGCUGUUUGCGAUAUUACAGUAAGCGGCCAAGCGAAAGCAUUAAGUAUUCCACCUGGGGAGUACGCCGGCAACGGUGAAACUCAAAGGAAUUGACGGGGGCCCGCACAAGCGGAGGAACAUGUGGUUUAAUUCGAUGAUACGCGAGGAACCUUACCCGGGCUUAAAUUGCAGUGGAAUGAUGUGGAAACAUGUCAGUGAGCAAUCACCGCUGUGAAGGUGCUGCAUGGUUGUCGUCAGCUCGUGCCGUGAGGUGUCGGCUUAAGUGCCAUAACGAGCGCAACCCUUAUCUUUAGUUACUAACAGGUUAUGCUGAGGACUCUAGAGAGACUGCCGUCGUAAGAUGUGAGGAAGGUGGGGAUGACGUCAAAUCAGCACGGCCCUUACGUCCGGGGCUACACACGUGUUACAAUGGGGGGUACAGAAGGCAGCUAGCGGGUGACCGUAUGCUAAUCCCAAAAGCCUCUCUCAGUUCGGAUCGAAGUCUGCAACCCGACUUCGUGAAGCUGGAUUCGCUAGUAAUCGCGCAUCAGCCACGGCGCGGUGAAUACGUUCCCGGGCCUUGUACACACCGCCCGUCAAGCCAUGGGAGCCGGGGGUACCUGAAGUACGUAACCGCAAGGAUCGUCCUAGGGUAAAACUGGUGACUGGGGCU